GACGAACGCUGGCGGCGCGCCUAACACAUGCAAGUCGAACGGAGCUGCGAGAAGCUUGCUUUUCUUAGCUUAGUGGCGAACGGGUGAGUAACGCGUGAGUAACCUGCCCUGGAGUGGGGGACAACAGUUGGAAACGACUGCUAAUACCGCAUAAGCCCACGAUCCGGCAUCGGAUUGAGGGAAAAGGAUUUAUUCGCUUCAGGAUGGACUCGCGUCCAAUUAGCUAGUUGGUGAGGUAACGGCCCACCAAGGCGACGAUUGGUAGCCGGACUGAGAGGUUGAACGGCCACAUUGGGACUGAGACACGGCCCAGACUCCUACGGGAGGCAGCAGUGGGGGAUAAUGCACAAUGGGGGAAACCCUGAUGCAGCGACGCCGCGUGGAGGAAGAAGGUUUUCGGAUUGUAAACUCCUGUCGUUAGGGACGAUAAUGACGGUACCUAACAAGAAAGCACCGGCUAACUACGUG
rnacentral:rRNA from 1 species